AACGAACGCUGGCGGCAGGCCUAAAACAUGCAAGUCGAACGCCCUAGCAAUAGGGAGUGGCGCACGGGUGAGUAACAUGUGGGAAUAUGCCUUUUGGUACGGAACAACUUUUGGAAACGAAAGCUAAUACCGUAUGGUCCCUUCGGGGUAAAGAUUUAUCGCCAAAAGAGUAGCCCGCACUGGAUUAGCUAGUUGGUAAGGUAAUGGCUUACCAAGGCGACGAUCCAUAGCUGGUCUGAGAGGACGAUCAGCCACACUGGGACUGAGACACGGCCCAGACUCCUACGGGAGGCAGCAGUUAGGAAUAUUGGACAAUGGGCGCAAGCCUGAUCCAGCCAUGCCGCGUGAGUGAUGAAGGCCUUCGGGUUGUAAAGCUCUUAGUCCUACGAAUAUAAUGACUGUAGUGGAAGAAUAAGCCCGGCUAACUUCGUGCCAGCAGCCGCGGUAU
rnacentral:rRNA from 1 species